ACCACCCUCUAGUGAGUAGGACACAAGCCUGCGGCCUGCCUGGCCCCUGGAACCUUUUAGCUUGUAACGUCAGACUCUCACUCCACCAGGCAUUCAAAGCCCGUACUAACCUGGCCCUGGGCUGCCUUCUCGGCCUCAUCUCUAAUCUUUCCCCACCCAUUCCAGCAUUCUGGAUGACUCAUUGCUCCCAAAAUACAUCACGCACAUUCCUACCUUCAUGUCUUUGCACAUGCUAGUUCCUCUACCUGGAACGACCUUUCUCUCUCUUUUCCACCUGGCAGACUCCCAACCAGAGGUGGCCCCUGCAGGGAGCUUUCCCAGACCUCCUCUGGGACAGCUAGUUGCUCUUUCUGUUGGACCCCAUCAAUUUCAUCUCCUUCCUCCCUCUCCACCACCAACUGUCCAAUCCCUGCAUGGCUUCGCCCUCAACGUGGGGGUCUCCAGAGGACGCUGCCCACACUGAUUCACCACUGGGUGUCCAGCGCCCUGGCACAAGCCUGGCACAGGAUGAGAUCAUUGAGAUUAGAGAAGAAAAUGGAUCUGGCCAAGGACAUACAACUAAGAAAUGGCGGUGCCACAGAUGGAGAAACUGACACUCAGACAGGCCAACUGAUCUGCCCACAUCAACGAGCUAAAAAAAUGGCAAGGCCAGGAUUUGGCCCUAGGCCUGCUUAACUCUGAAGACCAUGUGCCCAGUCUCCUGCCAGGCCAUUUACAUCCUCAGGAGGAUUGCUGCAGCCCCAGGACAGGCGAUUGCCUUUUACCACCCUCCUGCCAGACCACACUGCUGCUGUCCCUGCUCCUGUACCCCACUUUUGCUGGGUUGAAAAGGUUGAAAGGGGUACCCCACUGCUGCUGUACCCCACCCCAAAUUUUCAUGUAAAGCUGCACCUGUGGCGCGCUCUAAGGACAGAACGGCAGCUGCCGGUGGACCUCAUCCGCUCUCUAAGGGAGUCAGGCUUGACCUGAGCCCUGAAGGAGGAGUAGAGGUUAAGUGAGUGGCAAAGGAACCAGUAUGAACAAAAGCUCUGUGGCAGGAGGAACUAAAGAAGGAAGAACUAGCACAGAGGGAAGAAAACUCCAGGCUCAGGGAAAGAAUGACAAAAAAUAAGGCUGGGUAGGAGGGUGGGAACCUGAUUAGAAAAGGCCACUCACUAACUGAGUGAUUUUGGACAAGUCACCUUAUCUCUCUGAGCCUCACUUAGCUCAUCUGCAAAACAGAAAUAAACACAGUACCUAUCAUAAGGUUGUUAAAGGGACU
rnacentral:lncRNA from 10 species